GUUGUAAAUAAUUGCUUAAGAUAAAAAGAUAUUUAUUCUUUCGUUUUGACUUACCAGGCUUGUCAUAGAAAGAAGACAAUUAACAUCAUAUGACAGAAAACAAACAAAUCUCAAAAUCCUUCUGUUUUACUAAUUGCUUCAGUGCCUUCUUUAAGGUAUAAAAGCCACCCUAGAGGCCCCUUCAUUUCCAGCAAUAUUCUUACUUACUACUUGUCUCUCUAACAGGAAGACACCUUAUCCAUCUCCAGGAUUUCUUCAAGAUCGAUGCCUGACUUCAUGACUUGAGUCAUUUUCUUCUGAACAAAAGAAUAAAUCAUCAUACCUUGUUUCAGAAUAUUGAGAUGGAAUUGUGAUGAAACUAGAAAAAAGUGCCUAUCAUUCUGACAUUCUGACUUGGCAGUGGAUGUAGUGAACGAUGAGUUGACCAUUUUGGGGAAGGAGAUAUCUUGCACCUAAGUGAGGACUGUGAGUGAGACUGUAUCAUUUAGUUGCAUCUACCAAUUCAAAGUCUUGGGAGCAACACAAAGACACAAGUCAUGGCACUCUGAAGAUAGGUGCCAACUGUGGCAGUUUCCUGAACCAGCAAGGGCCGUGGUUCUAGCAGUCCUCUCCUGUGCCCAGAGUCAAUGCUACCGGCAGGUCAGCGUGCCCGGCUAUGGUGCUGUGCCAUCUUCCCUGGAGCAAUACUGAAGGUGAUUUGGGGUUCUCUGUCUCCUGGUUGGGUGGCCCCAAAGCAGUGGCAUGCUGGAGCCAGAUGUACCAGCUUGAAAAAGCAGAUUGUUAAAUUUUGAGAAAUUGUGUGAACUGGUUGUUAAAUGUAAUUACUAAAAAUUGAAUUAUAGAAACUUAUAAUUCAGCAGAUUAUAAUAAAAGCAAAGGGAAUAAAUACUCAAAAUUCUAUAAUUUCCUAAUUAUAUUCUAUGUUUAUUACUAUCAGUGGUUUUAAGGUUAUUUAUUUCCUUUGCAUCUGUGUGAUACAUCUCUUCCCAGCUCCAUGUUUAGUGGCACCACAUUGAGAGCUUGAAUCUGGACAUGGUAGGAGUGUUUAUACCAUGGAAAUUGGCAUAGGCCAUACCUCAGGGCUUGAGUUAUUGUUUUGUUGAUUAUCUAGGCUUUAAGUGA